AUUGAACGCUGGCGGCAGGCCUAACACAUGCAAGUCGAGCGGAAACGAGUUAUCUGAACCUUCGGGGAACGAUAACGGCGUCGAGCGGCGGACGGGUGAGUAAUGCCUAGGAAAUUGCCUUGAUGUGGGGGAUAACCAUUGGAAACGAUGGCUAAUACCGCAURAYGCCUACGGGCCAAAGAGGGGGACCUUCGGGCCUCUCGCGUCAAGAUAUGCCUAGGUGGGAUUAGCUAGUUGGUGAGGUAAUGGCUCACCAAGGCGACGAUCCCUAGCUGGUCUGAGAGGAUGAUCAGCCACACUGGAACUGAGACACGGUCCAGACUCCUACGGGAGGCAGCAGUGGGGAAUAUUGCACAAUGGGCGCAAGCCUGAUGCAGCCAUGCCGCGUGUAUGAAGAAGGCCUUCGGGUUGUAAAGUACUUUCAGCAGUGAGGAAGGGGGUGUCGUUAAUAGCGGCAUCUCUUGACGUUAGCUGCAGAAGAAGCACCG
rnacentral:rRNA from 1 species